GACAGAGGAGCCAAGCGUUGUCCGGAUUGACUGGGCGUAAAGCGCACGCAGGCGGAUGCGCGCGUGGGGUGUGAAAGCUGGUGGCUUAACUGCCAGUCGCCAUCCCAUACGGCGCGUCUGGAGCUAUGCAGAGGUCGGUGGAAUUGCCGGUGUAGUGGUGAAAUGCGUAGAGAUCGGCAGGAACACCCAGGGGGAAACCAGCCGACUGGGCAUAUGCUGACGCUGAGGUGCGAGAGCGUGGGGAGCGAACCGG
rnacentral:rRNA from 1 species